rnacentral:miRNA from 3 species
UCACUGGGUGAAGUUUGUCGUA